CCUACGGGAGGCUGCAGUCGAGAAUCAUUCACAAUGGGGGAAACCCUGAUGGUGCGACGCCGCGUGGGGGAAUGAAGGUCUUCGGAUUGUAAACCCCUGUCAUGUGGGAGCAAAUUAAAAAGAUAGUACCACAAGAGGAAGAGACGGCUAACUCUGUGCCAGCAGCCGCGGUAAUACGGAGGUCUCAAGCGUUGUUCGGAAUCACUGGGCGUAAGGCGUGCGUAGGCUGUUUCGUAAGUCGUGUGUGAAAGGCGCGGGCUCAACCCGCGGACGGCACAUGAUACUGCGAGACUAGAGUAAUGGAGGGGGAAGCGGAAUUCUCGGUGUAGCAGUGAAAUGCGUAGAUAUCGAGAGGAACACUCGUGGCGAAGGCGGGUUCCUGGACAUUAACUGACGCUGAGGCACGAAGGCCAGGGGAGCGAAAGGGAUUAGAUACCCCAGUAGUC
rnacentral:rRNA from 1 species